ensembl:lncRNA
CAGAGUGCUUCAAGCUGUUUCUGACAGAGGAGCUGGUGGGAGACAUAGUAGAGGAGAUUAAUAACUAUGCCUUGAAGCUACAGGAGAAGAGAGAGCCAGGAGUGAGGGGGAAACUCGCUAAAUGGGAGACAACCACUAUUAGUGAAAUGUGUACCUUCCUGGUGACAGUCCUUCUCAUGGGAAUAGUAAAGAAGAACUCCCUGACAGAAUACUGGAGCACAGAUCCUAUGUUUGCAACUCCCUUCUUUGCCACCCUCUUUUCCCCAAAUUAAAAAGCUGCUUCGCCCACCCACUGGAGCAGGUUGUUCGUCGACUGUCAGAUAAGAAAUAACACAGAAGAAUGAUCACCUCAAAAGCACGGACCAUUCCUUAAUGGGCUGGCAGUGAAAAAUCAGUAUGAGUUUUACUUUGGAGAAUUUACUGUGAAAAGGACAGAGGGAGACAACUGUGUCCUGUUACAAAACCAGGACAUUGCUGUUGUACAGAAUGUGGUCGUCAAUGAAAUGGGCAACACUUUCGUAGUCUACAAGAGGUUCAGGAAAAUGGUUGAUUUCUUCACCUACCCCUUUGCCGUCUUCCAAGAUAGGCAUUUUUCACCUCUCUGGAUUAUCAGAUAAUCUCCUCUUCACCAACGCUACGAAUGUGCUGAAGAAUUCUUCUUCCUUGCCAGAAUGGAUAAGCUGGCUUUCCAUUGAGCCACUUGUAGACAUGGCAUAGCCCUGUUUGUUUCUGUUCGCCCCUCACAAGAUCAAGAAGUUUGCUGUAAUUCAGUUCCUGGAUGAAAAGAACGAGCCAUAUGCAGUAGCUCUACAAGUAUGUAUCAAAGACGACAUCUGUUAUUGGCCACCACUCAGCCUCAGAAAAAAUAACAAAAGUAACAAUUUAGCCAUCGAGUGUACUCCACCAGACAGCACCUGAAAAAAAAGUUGCUUUAAGAUCAUGAAGGGAGCAGGCCUAAUGGAAUGGUUUAAACCAGUUGGACAUGUUUAUGGAGUGAGUUUAUU